UCCUGUCUGAAUAUGGGGGGACCAUCCUCCAAGGCUAAAUACUCCUGACUGACCGAUAGUGAACCAGUACCGUGAGGGAAAGGCGAAAAGAACCCCGGCGAGGGGAGUGAAAAAGAACCUGAAACCGUGUACGUACAAGCAGUGGGAGCACGCUUAGGCGUGUGACUGCGUACCUUUUGUAUAAUGGGUCAGCGACUUAUAUUCUGUAGCAAGGUUAACCGAAUAGGGGAGCCGAAGGGAAACCGAGUCUUAACUGGGCGUUAAGUUGCAGGGUAUAGACCCGAAACCCGGUGAUCUAGCCAUGGGCAGGUUGAAGGUUGGGUAACACUAACUGGAGGACCGAACCGACUAAUGUUGAAAAAUUAGCGGAUGACUUGUGGCUGGGGGUGAAAGGCCAAUCAAACCGGGAGAUAGCUGGUUCUCCCCGAAAGCUAUUUAGGUAGCGCCUCGUGAAUUCAUCUCCGGGGGUAGAGCACUGUUUCGGCAAGGGGGUCAUCCCGACUUACCAACCCGAUGCAAACUGCGAAUACCGGAGAAUGUUAUCACGGGAGACACACGGCGG
rnacentral:rRNA from 1 species